rnacentral:rRNA from 1 species
UACGGAGGGGAGCUAGCGUUGUUCGGAAUCACUGGGCGUAAAGGGUGCGUAGGCGGGUCUUUAAGUCAGGGGUGAAAUCCUGGAGCUCAACUCCAGAACUGCCUUUGAUACUGAGGAUCUUGAGUUCGGGAGAGGUGAGUGAACUGCGAGUGUAGAGGUGAAAUUCGUAGAUAUUCGCAAGAACACCAGUGGCGAAGGCGGCUCACUGGUCCGAUACUGACGCUGAGGCACGAAAGCGUGGGGAGCAAACAGG